ensembl:lncRNA
AUGGAGCGCAUGGAAGAGUUCAUUUGUCGCAACUGUAACAUGACAUUCCGGUCAUUUGGCCUUUUGGAUAAGCACAAGACCCGGUUCUGUAUUGGAAGUGAAAUAGGAGACCCAGUAAAGUUAAAGACAAGCUGUGUGGAAAUGAGACAGCCAGAGAGAGCAGCUUUGAGAGGAGUUGCCCCUAAAAGGACACAAACUCCUGAUCUUACUUCUCUGAGAGAGCAGAGGAAUCAGCUGUUGAGGCAAAAGGACAGGCAAAAGAUUGACCUUCAAGACAGUACAGCUGAGAGCCAGGUCAUCAACCAGCUCACUGUUGAGUUUCACAAGCUCAGGAUGUCAAUUGAAGAAAGCCUGUCCAGAAGACAUACAGAGCUCUCUUGA